UACGAAGGGGGCUAGCGUUGCUCGGAAUCACUGGGCGUAAAGCGCACGUAGGCGGCUUUCUAAGUCAGGGGUGAAAUCCCGGAGCUCAACUCCGGAACUGCCUUUGAUACUGGAAAGCUUGAGUUCGGGAGAGGUGAGUGGAACUGCGAGUGUAGAGGUGAAAUUCGUAGAUAUUCGCAAGAACACCAGUGGCGAAGGCGGCUCACUGGAACGCAACUGACGCUGAGACGCGAAAGCUAGGGGAGCAAACAGGG
rnacentral:rRNA from 1 species